UACAGAGGUUCCGAGCGUUGUUCGGAUUUAUUGGGCGUAAAGGGUGCGUAGGCGGCGGAGUAAGUUGGGUGUGAAAUCCCGGGGCUUAACCUCGGAAUGGCAUUCAAUACUGCUUCGCUUGAGUACUGGAGAGGAGGCUGGAAUUUACGGUGUAGCAGUGAAAUGCGUAGAUAUCGUAAGGAAGGCCGGUGGCGAAAGCGAGCCUCUGGACAGUUACUGACGCUGAUGCACGAAGGCCAGGGGAGCAAACGGG
rnacentral:rRNA from 1 species